GGAAGGAGAUUAAACCCUGGAUCUGGAAGAAUUUGGGAUGCUGGGCAGUAUUUAACCCAAAUAGAGGGGCUAGCUGCCAGUCUGACUGUCUCGGCGGAGUAAUACUGCAGUAAUUAUGUGAUAGUCUUGUGUAUAUCAAAAGAAUAUUUGAUGUCCUGAGGGCAGUGGAGAGCAUGAGAAAGAAAAAUACGCUUGGAUGGAGACAGUUAAAAUACUAGCUAGGUGUUUAACAACUGCGUUGAAUUUAAUAUGUUUCAGUUGCAUGCCUGCUAGGACUCUUCUCCCUCCAACCAGACUCAAUUGUCUUUUAAGGCACUUGAGCUCUAGCAAGGAGAGAGGUUUGAACCUCUGCAACUGCACAGCAUGGGGAGGCUAUAAAAGGAGCAACAAUAAACAAAAUGAAUUACAACAAAGUAUUCCAGUGGUACCACCAACACCGGACAACACUC